ACUGCAGCCCCUGGGUCUGUGCAUUUACGAGCCAAUCCCCCGGGAACUUUCCUCUCCAGCGCCAGGCAAAAUGAGACCUUGGAUCGCAGCUGUUUUCAUUGUAGCAGCUUUGGAAGGUGCCCGGUCCCAGGUGCAGCUGGUGGAGUCCGCAGGGGAUGUGAAAAAGCCCGGAGACUCUCUCCGCCUCUCCUGCAAAGCCUCCGGGUUCACCUUCAGCAGUGCCUAUAUGCACUGGGUCCGACAGGCCCCCGGGAAGGGGCUGGAGUGGGUGGCUCAGAUUAGCACGGAUGGAUCGAGCCAGUGGUAUUUGCCUGCUGUGAAAGGCCGAUUCACCAUCUCCAGGGACAACUCCAACAACCUGCUGAAUCUGCAAAUGACCGGCCUGAAGCCCGAGGACACCGCCCGCUAUUACUGUGCGAGAGACUCACGCUGAGAGGAAACCUGUGGAUGCUCGUACAAAAAACAGAGCUGCGGAACUUCCCGCGGCUGCCGCAUGGGGGCAGCAACGACACAAGCAAAACUCUCCUGCCUGGGGCGCAAGAGGGGGAGGGGCCUCAGGACUGAAAACUCUGACAUCGCGGAUUAACUCUUUCAUGUCCUGACUACAGCCCGCAUUUCAGUGCAUAGCAGAGCGCUGCUCGCCUCACGCAAACGGCUCUUCCCAUUGGCGUUAAUGGGGGAUCUCCAGGGAGCGAAACAACGAGCAAUUGGCUCUUCUCCGUAUGGCUAAACGUGCCGGGGAACAUUCCCUGUGGGCACCGCACAGUUCAGUGCAGCCGGUCACUGCUGGGCAGGGGAUCCAGUCCCAAUUCUCUGCCCGCGCCAGCGGGUGUCCCAGCCCCACGGGACCCCGUAAACCGACCCCCCCCCACCACCAGCCCCGCUGCUCGUGGGCCGGAGCUGCAGAGCUGAGAUU